UACGUAGGGGGCAAGCGUUGUCCGGAAUCAUUGGGCGUAAAGAGCGUGUAGGCGGCUCGGUAAGUCCGCUGUGAAAGUCCAGGGCCCAACCUACGGAAUGCCGGUGGAAACUGUCGAGCUAGAAUCCGGAAGAGGCGAGUGGAAUUCCUGGUGUAGCGGUGAAAUGCGCAGAUAUCAGGAGGAACACCAAUGGCGAAGGCAGCUCGCUGGGACGGUAUUGACGCUGAGACGCGAAAGCGUGGGGAGCAAACAGG
rnacentral:rRNA from 1 species